AAGCCGAUAUGCGGACUUUGGUUAUAAUAACCGGUUUUGACGGGGAUUUGAAAAUAUUAAAAAUGAUUAUAUGUUGGUAACGGUAACUGGGUGGGCGGAGUACUUUUGAACAUACCACACACUGAAUGAUUCCACUCUUUUUUGUCUUUGUUUCGUUGAAACAAUAUGUCUCCAUGACAACCAAGAAUGAGUUGAAAGGUCGGGGGGGCGGGGGGGAGAAAAAACUGUAUGAGAGUGUCACACUACAGACUGGUAAUUCCACCUUCCGUUUAUCCGUCUCCAUGGUAACCGGGGCCUUCUCUGAGCUGGGGCUGUGGCCAACAGUAGAAUAAAGACGGUGUGUCUUUUUGGCAGAUUGUUUCGUUGGUUUUCCUGCAUAUGAAGGUAUUGCAGUGAUGUCUGCGUCUCAAGAGCAGCAGGUAGAAGACACAAAACCAUGUGUGAGCCCCGGAAACCCCGUUUUCUCGUGCAUGAUGGCUCGAACGAAGCACCAGAAUCCCCUUUACAGGACCACAGCCAGUGACUACGGUCGUCAGUCGCCAACCUUUGAAAGCUCAGCGUCUUCUUUCUAUCCCAGAUCACAGAGAUUCACCAAAGACCUGGGCAGAAUCGGGAUGUACCGUGACAACACCUUCAAUACAGCCCUAGACCGAAGCCGAGUGUGUGACUAUCCCAAUUUACAACACACGAUCUAAAUACCUACUUGAUUUCAUGGAAAA